AUUGAACGCUGGCGGCAUGCCUAACACAUGCAAGUCGAACGCGUGGCGGACGGGUGAAUCAUGUCUGUGAAACUGCCCGAUGGAGGGGGAUAACUACUGGAACCGGUAGCUAAUACCGCUUACCAUCCGAUGUGCCCUGAUGGGAUUAGCUAGUAGGUGGGGUAACGGCUCACCUAGGCGACGAUCCCUAGCUGGUCUGAGAGGAUGACCGGCCACACUGGAACUGAGACACGGUCCAGACUCCUACGGGAGGCAGCAGUGGGGAAUAUUGCACAAUGGGCGAAAGCCUGAUGGAGCCAUGCCGCGUGUAUGAAGAAGGCCUUCGGGUCGUAAAGCACUUUCAGCGGGGAGGCGUUACCUGCAGAAGAAGCAACGGCUAACUCCGUGCCAGCAGCCGCGGUAAUUC
rnacentral:rRNA from 1 species